CAGCAGCCGCGGGAAUACGUAGGGUGCGAGCGUUAAUCGGAAUUACUGGGCGUAAAGCGUGCGCAGGCGGUGCUGCAAGACCGAUGUGAAAGCCCCGGGCUUAACCUGGGAACUGCAUUGGUGACUGCAGCGCUGGAGUAUGGCAGAGGGGGGUGGAAUUCCACGUGUAGCAGUGAAAUGCGUAGAAAUGUGGAGGAACACCGAUGGCGAAGGCAGCCCCCUGGGCCAAUACUGACGCUCAUGCACGAAAGCGUGGGGAGCAAACAGGAUUAGAUACCCCCGUAGUCCCUGUCUCUUAUAC
rnacentral:rRNA from 1 species